rnacentral:rRNA from 1 species
AGGGAUGACGGCCUUCGGGUUGUAAACCUCUUUCAGCAGGGAAGAAGCGAAAGUGACGGUACCUGCAGAAGAAGCGCCGGCUAACUACGUGCCAGCAGCCGCGGUAAUACGUAGGGCGCAAGCGUUGUCCGGAAUUAUUGGGCGUAAAGAGCUCGUAGGCGGCUUGUUGCGUCGGUUGUGAAAGCCCGGGGCUUAACCCCGGGUCUGCAGUCGAUACGGGCAGGCUAGAGUGUGGUAGGGGAGAUCGGAAUUCCUGGUGUAGCGGUGAAAUGCGCAGAUAUCAGGAGGAACACCGGUGGCGAAGGCGGAUCUCUGGGCCAUUACUGACGCUGAGGAGCGAAAGCGUGGGGAGCGAACAGGAUUAGAUACCCUGGUAGUCCACGCCGUAAACGUUGGGAACUAGGUGUUGGCGACAUUCCACGUCGUCGGUGCCGCAGCUAACGCAUUAAGUUCCCCGCCUGGGGAGUACGGCCGCAAGGCUAAAACUCAAAGGAAUUGACGGGGGCCCGCACAAGCAGCGGAGCAUGUGGCUUAAUUCGACGCAACGCGAAGAACCUUACCAAGGCUUGACAUACACCGGAAAGCAUCAGAGAUGGUGCCCCCCUUGUGGUCGGUGUACAGGUGGUGCAUGGCUGUCGUCAGCU